rnacentral:rRNA from 1 species
CCCCGGGCUGGGGAGAGGCGGAGUUUAAAUCUUGUUCAUCGCCUUCGGAAAAUUGUACAAGGUUAUAAGCUAAUUAAGCGGAGGGAGCAUAGGGAGGCUGACGUAGCGGUUAAGAUGAAAACCAGUUUAAUUUUCCCUUUGUUGGGAGGGGGGCAACAGGUUGACGAAGUGCCAUAGGAACGAGCUGGUGAAAAACCCCAUAACUGGCCAAGCUCUGGAGAUGAGAGUCUUCUGAGAACCGAGCAUACCUGGAACUCUCGGCAGGGGAUCUUUUGGUUCAGGCAUCGAUGAGAACUCAUCGAAAUGUUUAAGUUAUGUGAAUUGCAGAAUUCAGUGAAUACCGAUGCUUACACACACAUGCGCCCCUAAAAUAUUCAAGAGGCCUGCCGUUCGAGCCACAUUACAACCCUAAAGCGUGCCUGGGGUUGGACGCGCCACUUUGGCGGGGCAUAAAAUCAAUGGAGGUACCGUGUGGUGUAUGAGCGUGUAAAUAUCCUCGCUACAGAGACCUUGCUGUUCUUGCCAUCGACCCCCACUUCUUAAGUUUGACCUCGGAUCAUGUAGGGAUACCCGCUGAACUUAAGAUAUCAUAAGCGGAAGAAAGGGCGUUUCA